UGUUUUUGAUCAUUACAGAAGUGUGAUUUCUUAAUCAGCAGCUGUCAAACAUAGUGUUCCUGAAUUUAAAAGCUUGAACACUAAAUUAUAAAUUGGAGAGGUUGGAAUAAUACGGUCAUAUAUCUAGAAACACAAGUCUUUAGUAGCAAAAAAGAAAUUAGCAAGAGAAGAAACUGUUCGGUACUCUGAAUGGAAAAAGUUUUCAUUGAUAGAAGUUUUUUUAGAUGAAAAUUAACAUGAUAAAGAAGUGACAGGCCAGGUGUGGUGGUUCACGCUUUUAACACCAACAAUUUGGGAGGCCAAGAUGGGAGGAUCUCUUGAGCCCAGGAAUUCAAGACUAGCCUGGGCAACAAGGCAAAACUCAUCUCUACUGAAAAUUUUAAAAAUCAGCUGGACAGGGUGGCACCUGUCUGUAGCCCCAGCUACUUGGGAAGCUGAGGUGGGAGGAUCACUUGAGCCCAGGAGGUUGAGGCUGCAGUGAGCCGUGAUCACACCACUGUAUUCCAGCCUGGGCAAGAGUGAGAUCCUGUUAAAGGGGGGGAGAAAAAAAAAAGGAAGGGACAAAUAUUAGAGUUUUUGCUAAAGCUUUUAAGUUGAUAAGAUGCAGAGAAUUGGGGGAAUGUAUAAUAAAUUCGAUUUCAUUUAUAUUAUUUACCACAUGAAUCACUUUCCUCCAAACAGUUGUCCUAAGAGCCAUGUGUUCACGUGUAAUGAGGACCAGUAUUUAACUGGGAACCGUGGGUGGCGUGGCAAAGGAGACAGUGUCCGUGACUGUGCCGCUCUCCGCAGCCCCGUCUGCUGUCCUGUUUCCUCGGCUCCUCGGUGUCUGGACUGGCGUUCUGGGUGUCCCAGCGGAAAACUAAAGGGCCAGAGAGGUGUAAACAUACACACCACUUGGCAGGUGAAGAUAUUAAAGCUAGAAAUUGGAACUAGAAAAUCAAAAGAAUUCAAGGUGUCUUAACAUGACAGUUGAACUCAUUUGAUUACACUUAAAAGUUUAUUGCAGUUAUUGAAUUUUUUUUUGAGUGCAGUGGUGCCAUUGAUGCUAACUGCAGCCUCAAUCUCCCAGGCUCAAGAAAUCCUCCCACCUCAGCUUCCAGAGUAGCUGGGACUACAGGUACAUGCCACGCCUUAUUUUAUUUUUUAUUUUUUCAAUAUAAACGAGGUCUUGCUAUGUCAUCCAGUCUGGUCUUGAACUCCAGUGAUCCUCCCACCUUAGCCUCUCAAAGUGCUGGAAUUACAGGCAUGAGUCACCAAACCCAGCCACCAAUUUUACUUUAGGUAAACUUUUAUUUUCAAGAAGCUUUUGUUGGUGUUGCAAGUGUAAAUCAUGACUGUUUUAUAAAAUGUUCUAUAAAUAUAACCACUAUUCUUUGUAAGCCAUUUAAAAUAAAUUUUAAAGUCUUUCACGUAAACACCAAUAUUGUGGUUUUGAUCCUCACUUACGAAGUCCCUAUUUGAGAACCUCCCUACUAAAAUUUAUUCGUAACCCCAAAAUCACCACAUGCAGUCAUUUUCAGACAUGCACAGAGCAGUGAGUGAGCCAAGCUGCCUGACACGCACGUUUCUGACAGAGGCUGGAGGGGAUGCCAUGCCUUGUUUCCUCUCCUACUGCAAACAGGUGUCCUUUCAUAGUCUCUUCAGUACCAUGUUCUUUGCAUUUCUGCACUUUUUGUUGGCGAUUUCACUAUUUAAAAUGGCCCCCAGGUGUAGCAAAAUAUUGUCUACUGCUUUAAAGGCAACAAGGCUGUGAUGUGCCUCAUGGACUCAGUGUCUGUUAGAUCAGCUUCACUCAGGCAUGAGUGAUGGUGGUGUUGGCUGUGAGUUCAAUGUUUUAUUAUGCCAGAGAAUCAGUAGGUCUUGUAGGUCCUGGAACCUAAGGCUGGGUUGUUGAAACCGCCACUCCAAAAGUACUUCAGUAAUAAGCUGUUCUUUUCCCAAUGCUAACGGGGAUGCUUAUUUUUAGGCAUAGAAAGAAAUCACUUGUUGCCAUCGUUUUGUCUGAAGGCAGUCCUCUGAUAGAUGGGCUUAGUUCAUUAUUUCCUCUAAGCAAACAUUCUUAAACAUUUCUCUUAUAGUGAAAAACUAAGACAAUUUGUUAUAAAUCUUUAGUACUGCUUUCUCCAGAGUUUUAAGAUUGGAACUUUUACUUACCUUAAAAUCACUUGGUUUGGUUUCCUUUAACUUUUUCAAAGCGUUAGAGAGUAAUUCCUGUUGAACAGAUUAUCUCCCUUGUAAAUACACUUUGAAAAUACCUCAGUAAAAGGAAUUUCUCAUGAUUUCUUAAAAUAAAAAAUAUAUCAGAUAACAGCUGAUAAAAAGAACUUUAAUGGAAGGCACUGUUGUCCAAAAUCACAUAAAGGGUAAGAGCCCAUAUGGUACCACCCUGCUCCUCCUACUUCUCAAACCCACAUCCACCACCCAGACAGGAGGGUGCAGAUCCCACAGGAAAUUACCUCCCAGAGCAGUGACUGAUGUUUUUCCUUAAAA